rnacentral:rRNA from 1 species
UACGGGGGGGGCAAGCGUUGUUCGGAAUUACUGGGCGUAAAGGGCUCGUAGGUGGCCAACUAAGUCAGACGUGAAAUCCCUCGGCUUAACCGGGGAACUGCGUCUGAUACUGGAUGGCUUGAGUUCGGGAGAGGGAUGCGGAAUUCACGGUGUAGCAGUGAAAUGCGUAGAUAUCGUGAGGAACACCAGAGGCGAAGGCGGCUACCUGGACAAUUGCUGACGCUCAGGCACGAAAGCGUGGGGAGCAAAAGGG